rnacentral:rRNA from 1 species
UACCAGCACCCCGAGUGGUCGGGACGAUUAUUGGGCCUAAAGCAUCCGUAGCCGGUUCUACAAGUCUUCCGUUAAAUCCACCUGCUUAACAGAUGGGCGUGCGGAGGAUACUAUAGAGCUAGGAGGCGGGAGAGGCAAGCGGUACUUAGUGGGUAGGGGUAAAAUCCGUUGAUCCAUUGAAGACCACCAGUGGCGAAGGCGGCUUGCCAGAACGCACUCGACG